UACGUAGGGUCCGAGCGUUGUCCGGAAUUAUUGGGCGUAAAGGGCUCGUAGGCGGUUUGUCGCGUCGGGAGUGAAAACCAUGAGCUUAACUCAUGGCUUGCUUUCGAUACGGGCAGACUAGAGGUAUGCAGGGGAGAACGGAAUUCCUGGUGUAGCGGUGAAAUGCGCAGAUAUCAGGAGGAACACCGGUGGCGAAGGCGGUUCUCUGGGCCUUACCUGACGCUGAGGAGCGAAAGUGUGGGGAGCGAACAGG
rnacentral:rRNA from 1 species